rnacentral:rRNA from 1 species
AUACGUAGGUGGCAAGCGUUGUCCGGAUUUAUUGGGCGUAAAGCGAGCGCAGGCGGAAAGAUAAGUCAGAUGUGAAAGCCCUCGGCUUAACCGAGGAAUAGCAUCGGAAACUGUCUUUCUUGAGUGCAGAAGAGGAGAGUGGAACUCCAUGUGUAGCGGUGGAAUGCGUAGAUAUAUGGAAGAACACCAGUGGCGAAGGCGGCUCUCUGGUCUGUAACUGACGCUGAGGCUCGAAAGCAUGGGUAGCGAACAGGAUUAGAUACCCUGGUAGUCCAUGCUGUAAACGAUGAGUGCUAAGUGUUGGGAGGUUUCCGCCUCUCAGUGCUGCAGCUAACGCAUUAAGCACUCCGCCUGGGGAGUACGACCGCAAGGUCAAAACUCAAAUGAAUUGACGGGG